GUUAAAACACAAAAUAGAGAUAGAUUUUCAAAUAUUUUAUUUACAAUGUCUUCUUUUCUUUAAGAUGUAAGCAUUUUUUGAUUCAUUCUCCUUAGUUAAAAGCUAGAAACGUUAAACUCCAAUCAAGAAAAUAGGAUAUCUGUGCAUGCUCUGAGAAACAAGGAAAUCACUGAGGGAAAUGCCUGAAUGGGAAAUCAAGGAGGGAGCAGAAGGCUGGGAGAGCUGUUACACUAUGGAAAACCGCUCCAAAAGGAAGAAGAGAAAGAAAACAGUUGUAUUAUUGAAUAAGCAUUAAAGCAGAAUCUGAUGCAUGUCACUUGCCAUGUAGAAUGGAAUUGCAAAAACAGAAAGAAAUCUCCCUCUUUUACAUGGUGAAGCAAAUACAUCUCCUUACAUCAUGUUCUCAAGAGUCCUGAGCUGUCUAUAAGAAGUCUGACAAAUCUGAGACCAGCCUGCUGUGAGGAAACCCAAGCCACAGGAAGAUGCCACCAGGAGGCAAUCUGGUCAACCAUUCCAACUGAGCCCAGACUUGGAAUCAUCCCAGUCCAUCAGGCCCAACCUGACUGACCAGCUUAUGGAGAAUCUGGUUAUGGAAAUGUUUACUGAGGGGGCAGCUUCAUGGACCAUAGACUUCGGAAGUCCAGGUAUGCAAUAGUAACUCAUCAUGCAGUCCUAGACACAGAAGCACUCCCUCCAGGUACAUCUACCCAGAAGGCAGAACUCAUAGCCCUCAUGAGAGCCCUGCAUCUUGGAGCUAAGAGCAAGGUAAUCAUUUAUACUGAUUCUGAGUAUGCCUUCUCUGUUUUGCAUGCAUAUGGCUAUAUAAAAAGAGAGAGGUCAUCUAACUUCAGGAAGAAGAAAUUAAACAUGCAGAAGAGAUACUGGCCUUAUUAG
rnacentral:lncRNA from 1 species